rnacentral:rRNA from 1 species
GUCUAUUUGGAGUUAUAAAAAGUCUAACCUGCCCACUGAUAAAUAAUAAUUGAAUGGCCGCGGUAUCUUGACCGUGCAAAGGUAGCAUAAUCGUUAGUUUUUUAAUUGGAAUCUUGUAUGAAUGGUUGGACAAAAGAAAAUCUGUCUUUAUAUUAUUAGUUGAAUUUAACUUUUAAGUGAAAAGGCUUAAAUACAUUUAAGGGACGAUAAGACCCUAUAAAGCUUAAUAUUAAAAUUUUAUUUAGUUGAAUUUUACAUGAUAAAAACUUAGUAAUUAAAUUUAUUUUAUUGGGGCGAUAAAAGUAAAAUGACUAUUAACUGCUUAAUUUUCAAUACAUAAUAAAUGAGUGAAUUUCUAAAUGAUCCUAGUUAAAGAUUAAAAGUUCAAGUUACUUUAGGGAUAACAGCGUUAUUUUUUUUAAGAGUACUUAUCGAAAAAAAAGUUUGCGACCUCGAUGUUGAAUUAAAAUAUCUUUGUAAUUGCAGGAGUUACAAAAGUAGGUCUGUUCGACCUUUAAAAUUUUACAUGAUUUGAGUUCAAACCGGCGUGAG